rnacentral:rRNA from 1 species
AUUGAACGCUGGCGGCAGGCCUAACACAUGCAAGUCGAGCGGAGCGGCGGACGGGGGAGUAAUGCCAAGGAAUCGGCCUGGUAGUGGGGGAUAACGUCCGGAAACGGGCGCUAAUACCGCAUACUAUUAGAUUAGCCUAGGGCGGAUUGGCUAGUGGGUGGGGUAAUGGCCUACCAAGGCGACGAUCCGUAGCUGGUCUGAGAGGAUGAUCAGUCACACUGGAACUGAGACACGGUCCAGACUCCUACGGGAGGCAGCAGUGGGGAAUAUUGGACAAUGGGCGAAAGCCUGAUCCAGCCAUGCCGCGUGUGUGAAGAAGGUCUUCGGGUUGUAAAGCACUUUAAGUUGGGAGGCGUUACCCGCAGAAUAAGCACCGGCUAACUUCGUGCCAGCAGCCGCGGUAAUUC